UGAAUACGAGAUGCUACGGCGUCGAAGCAGUGUAUGUCAGACUUCCAAGAAAAGCUCGCAAUGUCAUAAAUAAAGAAUGCCUGUACCAUAACCGACACAGGUGGGUAGGUAGAGUAUACUAAGGGGCGCGAGAUAACUCUCUCUAAGGAACUCGGCAAAAUAACUCCGUAACUUCGGGAGAAGGAGUGCCUUCUUUAAGAAGGUUGCAAUAACAAGAUCCAAGCAACUGUUUAUCAAAAACACAGGUCUCCGCUAAGUCGUAAGACGAUGUAUGGGGGCUGACGCCUGCCCAGUGCCAGAAGGUUAAAGAAGUUGGUUAGCUUUUGCGAAGCUGAUGACUGAAGCCCUGGUGAACGGCGGCCGUAACAAUAACGGUCCUAAGGUAGCGAAAUUCCUUGUCGGGUAAGUUCCGACCCGCACGAAAGGCGUAAUGAUUUGGAUACUGUCUCGGAGAGGGACUCGGUGAAAUAGACUUGUCUGUGAAGAUGCGGACUACCUGCACCAGGACAGAAAGACCCUAUGAAGCUUUACUGUAACUUGAAAUUGAAAUUGGACUUUAUUUGCGCAGUAUAGGUGGAAGGCGUUAAAAGUAAUCUUGCGGGAUUAGUGGAGCCAUCAGUGAGAUACCACUCCUAUAAUGUUAGAUUUCUAACUUUGGAUCAUGAUCUGGUCAAAGAACAGUUUCAGGCGGGCAGUUUGACUGGGGCGGUCGCCUCCCAAAUGGUAACGGAGGCGUACAAAGGUUUCCUCUGAACGGGUAGAAAUCGUAUCUAGAGUGUAAAGGCAUAAGGAAGCUUGACUGUGAGACCUACAAGUCGAGCAGGGACGAAAGUCGGUCUUAGUGAUCUGACGGUGCUGAGUGGAAAGGCCGUCACUCAACGGAUAAAAGUUACUCUAGGAUAACAGGCUGAUCUCCCCCAAGAGUUCACAUCGACGGGGAGGUUUGGCACCUCGAUGUCGGCUCAUCGCAUCCUGGGGCGGUAGUACGUCCCAAGGGUUGGGCUGUUCGCCCAUGAAAGCGGUACGCGAGCUGGGUUCAGAACGUCGUGAGACAGUUCGGUCCAUAUCCGGUGUAGGCGUUAGAAUAUUGAGAGGAGCCUUCUUUAGUACGAGAGGACCGAGAAGGACAUACCUCUGGUGUACCAGUUAUCGUGCCAACGGUAAACGCUGGGUAGCUAUGUAUGGAGAGGAUAACCGCUGAAAGCAUCUAAGUGGGAAGCCCACCUCAAGAUGAG
rnacentral:rRNA from 1 species